rnacentral:rRNA from 1 species
GCCCAGACUCCUACGGGAGGCAGCAGUGGGGAAUAUUGCACAAUGGGGGAAACCCUGAUGCAGCGACGCCGCGUGAGUGAGGAAGUAUUUCGGUAUGUAAAGCUCUAUCAGCAGGGAAGAAAAUGACGGUACCUGACCAAGAAGCCCCGGCUAACUACGUGCCAGCAGCCGCGGUAAUACGUAGGGGGCAAGCGUUAUCCGGAUUUACUGGGUGUAAAGGGAGCGUAGGCGGCUGUGUAAGCCAGAAGUGAAAGCCCGAGGCUCAACCACGGGACUGCUUUGGAAACUGUUAAGCUGGAGUGCAGGAGAGGUAAGUGGAAUUCCUAGUGUAGCGGUGAAAUGCGUAGAUAUUAGGAGGAACACCAGUGGCGAAGGCGGCUUACUGGACUGUAACUGACGUUGAGGCUCGAAAGCGUGGGGAGCAAACAGGAUUAGAUACCCGUGUA